rnacentral:rRNA from 1 species
UACAGAGGUGGCAAGCGUUGUUCGGAAUUACUGGGCGUAAAGGGCGCGUAGGUGGCCAGCACAAGUCAGUUGUGAAAUCUCCGGGCUUAACUCGGAAAGGUCAACUGAUACUGUGCGACUAGAGUGCAGAAGGGGCAACUGGAAUUCUCGGUGUAGCGGUGAAAUGCGUAGAUAUCGAGAGGAACACGUGCGGCGAAGGCGGGUUGCUGGGCUGACACUGACGCUGAUGCGCGAAAGCCAGGGGAGCGAACGGG